AUAAAAGCUGCUACCACUGUGGGUCCGGCCAUCUCCCAACUGGAAGUGGACAAAAGCAGAAAUUCCUAACCAACAGAUGACCUUUGACUCAGUAUCUUUAUUCCUCACUGUGUCCUGAAGAUUCUCUCUGAACAAAUGAGUCGAGUUAAGACAUAAUCUGAAAACUCUCACUAAGCCAAGAAACACAGAGAAAUAAAAUACCCUCAGAUCCCAAAGGGGCUCAAGACCUGUUCCAGCCUAAACCUGAAGCCAAGAUGAGAAAAUGUGUACGCCAACGGGUUGGACGCCAACACCAUCGAAUGAUUCCACAUAACCUUUGGGAAGUUAGUGGCUGGGAAAGAGCAUGGGAAAGCCUUCUGGAUGGUGGACUAAAGAGACACAGCUGAACAGUGAAAGCAAACACUGCCCCAAACCAACAACAGUGCUGUCAGGUCACAAGACAAGAGCAAACCUCCACUCUGUGAUUUUUCUUCCCUUGAAGAAUCAGAAAAAUGGUCACACACUUACGGUAACAGGAACUGAAGCCACGUCUAUGGAUUAGUACAAACCACGGGCAAUGCAGGCUGUCUUCAAGCAAACACAGCAACCGUCAGCCUGCAGAAAACCUGAGGCCCUCUGAAACAGCCUCCCCACUGCACUGGUGCUGCCAUUUCCCCAAAACUACAUCUGGCUUGUGGAUGGCCUGAAGAUGGUCCAGAGGAGAGAGCAAAAGUUUCUGAAAGGACACAAAAAGGGCCAUAAAGAAAGAUGAGAGGCAAAUGGAAGUCGAGCAAAGAAUGUUGUGGAGGAGGAGGUUGCUGGGUCACGGCUUCUCUGAUAUCCCCAUACGAGCAUGUACUAUGGACCAAUCAAUAUGCCUGGUGGUUUGCUACAAUAUCUAAUGACAAAAAAAAAAUCUAAUGACAGGACUGUCCCACAAAGUAGUAAUGAUUAUUCCUACUUUACAAGUGAGGCAACAGGUUAAAAAAAA